rnacentral:ncRNA from 2 species
GCCGAUAUCCGCGGGAGCCCGGUACCGGGCUGAGAGGGCCCCGGGGGCCGACCGCAGAACCUGACGCGGGUCAUGCCGCCGGAGGAAGGAUGACCAUGGUCGAC